rnacentral:lncRNA from 1 species
CCCCAAGGCCAGGACGAGCCGACCAGGCCUUCUUGGAAUGUACCAUUCGAUAAAGAGAAGGAGAAACAGGUGGCUAAGUUCUUCGAGAAGCUGACUUGGCGCCAACCAAUCGAUACAUGUUCAGAAAAUGGUGCCAUUAACAUGACCCAAAGUUUUUGACCUUCUGAUGUCCAAAGGUCACCCACUGGAAACCUGUGCAAGCCCAGGUGAAGGGUCAAUGGUUUCAAUAAAAGUGAGCUUCAAGCCAUGCGUGGUGGUAUACGUCUGUAAUCCCAGCACUGAGGAAGCUGAGGCAGGAGGAUUGAAAGUUCAAGGCAGCUGUGACUACAUAUGGAGAUCCUGUAUCAAAAACAAUGACAUCAAAGUGUCCAUGCUUCACAGAGGCCAAGGCUCAGAGAGGAAAGUGCCUUGCCCAAGGUCACACAGCUGGAGAGGGAUAACACUGGAGUGUGAACCUGGAAUCUACUUGCUUCUGAAACAAGGCCUUCCCUACUUUGACCUCCUCCUGGAGUUUAGCAUCUGGUUUUCCCCUUUGGUGUUGUUGGGUCUGGAGACAUAAGGCAGCCACCACGCUGUAAGGAAGCCUGGGCAGCCUGGAAGAAGCCCAGGAAGAGACAGGAACUGAGGUCUCCCCUGCUUAGCUCACGGAACCACCAGCCAACAGCCAGCAGUACCCUGUCAGCCAUGGAAAGAGGCCAUCUUGGAAGCAGGUCUGCCCCCAGGCGAGCCACCCUGACUGACACCGUGACCCUAACCCUUGGAGCAAAGACUUCCUACCUACCCUUAUUAAACCCUGCC